CCUACGGGAGGCAGCAGUGGGGGAUAUUGCACAAUGGGGGGAACCCUGAUGCAGCGACGCCGCGUGGGUGAAGAAGCGCCUCGGCGCGUACAGCCCUGUCAGCAGGGAAGAAAAUGACGGUACCUGAAGAAGAAGCCCCGGCUAACUACGUGCCAGCAGCCGCGGUAAUACGUCGGGGGCAAGCGUUAUCCGGAUUUACUGGGUGGAAGGGGGUCGCAGACGGCGAUGCAAGCCAGGAGUGAAAGACCGGGGCCAAACCCCGGGACUGCUCUUGGAACUGCGUGGCUGGAGUGAAGGAGGGGCAGGCGGAAUUCCUGGUGGAGCGGUGAAAUGCGUAGAUAUCAGGAGGAACACCGGUGGCGAAGGCGGCCUGCUGGACUGCAACUGACGUUGAGGCCCGAAAGCGUGGGGAGCAAACAGGAUUAGAUACCCUGGUAGUC
rnacentral:rRNA from 1 species